rnacentral:rRNA from 1 species
GGACCCUAUGGGUCUUCUAAUUGGAAUGAGAACAAGCUAAACAGCUUAUCGAGAAUCCAGCAGAGGGCAAGUCUGGUGCCAGCAGCCGCGGUAAUUC